rnacentral:rRNA from 1 species
ACACCUGUUCCCAUGCCGAACACAGAAGUUAAGCUCCUUAGCGUCGAUGGUAGUCGAACUUACGUUCCGCUAGAGUAGAACGUUGCCAGGCAGUUUUAAAUCGGAGAAUUAGCUCAGCUGGGAGAGCAUCUGCCUUACAAGCAGAGGGUCGGCGGUUCGAACCCGUCAUUCUCCACCAUUUAUUCUUACAUAUUGCCGGCCUAGCUCAAUUGGUAGAGCAACUGACUUGUAAUCAGUAGGUUGGGGGUUCAAGUCCUCUGGCCGGCACCAUGGAAGAGCCAUUAGCUCAGUUGGUAGAGCAUCUGACUUUUAAUCAGAGGGUCAGAGGUUCGAAUCCUCUAUGGCUCACCAUUUGCGGGUGUGGCGGAAUUGGCAGACGCACUAGACUUAGGAUCUAGCGCCUUACGGCGUGGGGGUUCGACUCCCUUCACCCGCAUAUGCAGAAGUAGUUCAGCGGUAGAAUACAACCUUGCCAAGGUUGGGGUCGCGGGUUCGAAUCCCGUCUUCUGCUCCAUUUUUAUAGUGCCGGGGUGGCGGAACUGGCAGACGCACAGGACUUAAAAUCCUGCGGUGAGUGAUCACCGUACCGGUUCGAUUCCGGUCCUCGGCACCAUUUUCAAUAAAAACAUAUGCGCCCGUAGCUCAAUUGGAUAGAGCGUUUGACUACGGAUCAAGAGGUUAUGGGUUCGACUCCUAUCGGGCGCGUUAAUUAUACGGGAAGUAGCUCAGCUUGGUAGAGCACUUGGUUUGGGACCAAGGGGUCGCAGGUUCGAAUCCUGUCUUCCCGAUAUACUGUAAUUAUUAUGGGGGCUUAGCUCAGCUGGGAGAGCGCCUGCUUUGCACCGUGUUCGAAAGGGAAACAGCCCAGACCACCAGCUAAGGUCCCAAAAUAUAUGUUAAGUGGAAAAGGAUGUGGCGUUGCCCAGACAACUAGGAUGUUGGCUUAGAAGCAGCCAUCAUUUAAAGAGUGCGUAAUAGCUCACUAGUCGAGUGACACUGCGCCGAAAAUGUACCGGGGCUAAACAUAUUACCGAAGCUGUGGAUUGUCCUUUGGACAAUGGUAGGAGAGCGUUCUAAGGGCGUUGAAGCAUGAUCGUAAGGACAUGUGGAGCGCUUAGAAGUGAGAAUGCCGGUGUGAGUAGCGAAAGACGGGUGAGAAUCCCGUCCACCGAUUGACUAAGGUUUCCAGAGGAAGGCUCGUCCGCUCUGGGUUAGUCGGGUCCUAAGCUGAGGCCGACAGGCGUAGGCGAUGGAUAACAGGUUGAUAUUCCUGUACCACCUAUAAUCGUUUUAAUCGAUGGGGGGACGCAGUAGGAUAGGCGAAGCGUGCGAUUGGAUUGCACGUCUAAGCAGUAAGGCUGAGUAUUAGGCAAAUCCGGUACUCGUUAAGGCUGAGCUGUGAUGGGGAGAAGACAUUGUGUCUUCGAGUCGUUGAUUUCACACUGCCGAGAAAAGCCUCUAGAUAGAAAAUAGGUGCCCGUACCGCAAACCGACACAGGUAGUCAAGAUGAGAAUUCUAAGGUGAGCGAGCGAACUCUCGUUAAGGAACUCGGCAAAAUGACCCCGUAACUUCGGGAGAAGGGGUGCUCUUUAGGGUUAACGCCCAGAAGAGCCGCAGUGAAUAGGCCCAAGCGACUGUUUAUCAAAAACACAGGUCUCUGCUAAACCGUAAGGUGAUGUAUAGGGGCUGACGCCUGCCCGGUGCUGGAAGGUUAAGAGGAGUGGUUAGCUUCUGCGAAGCUACGAAUCGAAGCCCCAGUAAACGGCGGCCGUAACUAUAACGGUCCUAAGGUAGCGAAAUUCCUUGUCGGGUAAGUUCCGACCCGCACGAAAGGCGUAACGAUUUGGGCACUGUCUCAACGAGAGACUCGGUGAAAUCAUAGUACCUGUGAAGAUGCAGGUUACCCGCGACAGGACGGAAAGACCCCGUGGAGCUUUACUGUAGCCUGAUAUUGAAAUUCGGCACAGCUUGUACAGGAUAGGUAGGAGCCUUUGAAACGUGAGCGCUAGCUUACGUGGAGGCGCUGGUGGGAUACUACCCUAGCUGUGUUGGCUUUCUAACCCGCACCACUUAUCGUGGUGGGAGACAGUGUCAGGCGGGCAGUUUGACUGGGGCGGUCGCCUCCUAAAAGGUAACGGAGGCGCUCAAAGGUUCCCUCAGAAUGGUUGGAAAUCAUUCAUAGAGUGUAAAGGCAUAAGGGAGCUUGACUGCGAGACCUACAAGUCGAGCAGGGUCGAAAGACGGACUUAGUGAUCCGGUGGUUCCGCAUGGAAGGGCCAUCGCUCAACGGAUAAAAGCUACCCCGGGGAUAACAGGCUUAUCUCCCCCAAGAGUUCACAUCGACGGGGAGGUUUGGCACCUCGAUGUCGGCUCAUCGCAUCCUGGGGCUGUAGUCGGUCCCAAGGGUUGGGCUGUUCGCCCAUUAAAGCGGUACGCGAGCUGGGUUCAGAACGUCGUGAGACAGUUCGGUCCCUAUCCGUCGUGGGCGUAGGAAAUUUGAGAGGAGCUGUCCUUAGUACGAGAGGACCGGGAUGGACAUACCUCUGGUGUACCAGUUGUCGUGCCAACGGCAUAGCUGGGUAGCUAUGUGUGGACGGGAUAAGUGCUGAAAGCAUCUAAGCAUGAAGCCCCCCUCAAGAUGAGAUUUCCCAACUUCGGUUAUAAGAUCCCUCAAAGAUGAUGAGGUUAAUAGGUUCGAGGUGGAAGCAUGGUGACAUGUGGAGCUGACGAAUACUAAUCGAUCGAAGACUUAAUC